rnacentral:rRNA from 1 species
GACGAACGCUGGCGGCGUGCCUAAUACAUGCAAGUCGAACGCAGUGGGGACGGGUGAGUAACACGUGGGUAACCUCCCAUCAGAGGGGAUAACACUUGGAAACAGGUGCUAAAACGAUACUGAUGGAUGGACCCGCGGUGCAUUGGCUAGUUGGGGGGGUAACGGCUCACCAAGGCCACGAUGCAUAGCCGAACUGGGAGGGGGAUCGGCCACACUGGGGCGUAGACGAGGACCAGACUCCUACGGGAGGCAGCAGUAGGGAAUCUUCGGCAAUGGACGAAAUUCUGACCGAGCAACGCCGCGUGAGUGAAGAAGGUUAUCGGAUCGUAAAACUCGGUUGUUAGAGGAGCGGUAUCUAACCAGAAAGCCACGGCUAACUACGUGCCAGCAGCCGCGGUAAUAC